UACGUAGGGACCAAGCGUUGUUCGGAUUUACUGGGCGUAAAGGGCGCGUAGGCGGCAUGACAAGUCACUUGUGAAAUCUCCGGGCUUAACUCGGAACGGCCAAGUGAAACUGUCAAGCUAGAGUGCAGAAGGGGCAGUCGGAAUUCUUGGUGUAGCGGUGAAAUGCGUAGAUAUCAAGAGGAACACCUGCGGCGAAGGCGGGUUGCUGGGCCGACACUGACGCUGAAGUGCGAAAGCCAGGGGAGCGAACGGG
rnacentral:rRNA from 1 species